GAGCCCGCGAGAGCCUGAGUCACGGCCGAGGGGCACGGCCGGCCUCCCGGGGACAGGGCAGCGGCGCCCGAGCGGUACAAAGGUCAGGCGCUCGCUCCGGAGGGAGGCAGGGAGGCCUGACUGCCAGCAGCUUCCCGCUGAGACGCCCAGCUCGCUAGUUAGGCCGGUCCUCGCCUCUCCUUCCGAGCACCUCCUCCAGGAAGCCCGCCGUGACUCCCUAGAGUCAGGGAAGCCCUAGGGACAAUUCGGAAACCAGCGCUACGUCUCUCCAUCCUGUCCCCCUAACACACCAGCAGUGGAGAGAAAUGAACUGUGCCGAUGCCUUCAGGCUGAUUCCUGGCUGCCAGGAGUAAGCUGACUCCAUUCCCCACAUGCAGAAGAGAAGCUGAAGCCCAGAAUACCCCCGCUGCAUCCUCCCUGCUCAGCUCCCACAAACUCCACAUAGAGAAAGCGGCAUUGGAUGGAAUCGAACUUGGGAGCUUUCGAGGCAGGCAGUGGAACCUCUGAGCUAAGUCCCCGGCCCUUAGUUCCUGAAUUGGGGGAGUUCAGAGGGUCAGGGGAGCAGACUCCUUGGCCCCGAAGCCCCCAGCUUGUUAACCAGCUACAAGAGUCAUCCGGCUGAUAAAGCAUGGCCACCUGCCCAGCCCUGUGCUAUCCAAGGAUCGAAACCAGCACAGCUGCUGCCAAGAGGCCUGCACAGAAAAUACCAGCAGCCAGUGCUUCCCACCCCAACCUGAACAACCAGUAUGGGCAGCUGCUGGGGCUGCAUGUGGGUGGAAACCAGGCGGAACGAUGCGUAUCCGGAAACAUGUGUGGCCCUGUGUCUCCUCCGGGAGAGGGGGCUCCUGGGGGUUCCCUCACAGGGUGCUGGCUUGUUACUCUAUCUGCACUGGGUUCCUAGGAGCAUUCACCUAGACAAGGAAGGACCAGGGGUUGAUAUUUGGGGGGGGGGGUUUAUUCAUUUGGAAUAAGAAAUCAGGCUUGAAAAUCUUUUUCUAAUCAUGGUGUAUUAUCACUAGUGACUUUUUACAUCCUAAUUCUUGUUUAUCGAUCAUGAUUAACAGUGAUAUGGCUAGCAAUGACAUUUUAGCAAAAGAACUGCAGAUAUGCAGAAAAAGAAUUUUAGAAAAACAAUAAAAAUAGCUCUUGGUUCAGCAAUUGCCUGAAUCAGGAGGGAGGGCUGAUAUGUCAAAAUGAAAACCCUAUAGGUUUGGCAAGAAUUGAGUCAAAAAUUGAGUUGUUUGUUUUUGCCCUGGAGCAAAUUUUAUUUUACCUCUUUAAAAGGCAAUAAAACUUGUGGAUAAACUAUUAUCAAUACUAGUAAGAAAUUCUGCCAGGCUUGGUGGUGCACACCUGUAAUCCCAGCGCUUGGGAAGCUGAGGCAGGAAUUCACCAUGAGUUCCAGGCCAGCUGGGCUGCAUAGUGAAUUCAAAGCCAGCCUGAAAACAACAACAUCAUCAUCAUCAUCAUCAUCAUCAUAUUUAGUAAUUCAGGUUCUCAUAUUUGAGCUCUCAGAUUUGUCACUUCAACAGUAUAAUGUUAUUUGUUUGGUUUCUGUGAUUAGACCAAGAAGUGACCCUCCGGGUCAAAUCCCUAACACUUAUAACUGCUAUCUAAUUCAGUCUUUGCGGACAUAAUUAGGUAAAGGAUGUUUUUUUCGCACUGGGGAUAGAACCCUACCAGUUAGCUACACCCCAUCCUGUCCAUUUUUCUCUUUGAUUUGAGGCUGGCAGGUGUCAUUUGGUGCUGCUAGGAGUCUCACUUGGGGAGAACUGGUCUGAAAGUGAAAACAGAAGAAAUGCAGCCAGAAGGUGAAGGGAGGGCUGGGGAUUUAGCUCAGUAGUUCUGCAAUCUGCCUUGAAAGUACAAGGUCCUGAGUUUGAUCCCCGGUACCAAAAAAAAAAAGAAGAAGAAGGCGAAGGGAGGCUGGAUCCUCCUUGUACCCCAUCACCCUGAAGGCUCGCUGGCCAGCAGAGGCUCAGCCCCUGAAGUUUCCAGGUAUGGUUGCCAAUAAAUAAACACUCUUAUUUGCUUUUGUCAGUUUGAGGCGAGUUUGUGCCCCUAACAACUGAAAAUGUCCUGAUCAAUAUAAAGGUCACACAUGGGCACAAAACACACACCUGUUUCUUUUGUGUACUAGGAAAGCCAAGGAGAGAAUCAUAUCUAUUUCUAGUGACUCACGAAUGGGAGCCCUCUCUUUCAAGAAAACCAUGAUGUUAGAUCAAGAAAGGACCUGAGUUACACCUCUCUCACUGCAGAGCUCCGGGGGAAGUACCCAGAGUUGUUGCCAGGCCAUGGUAGAGUUGGGACCAGACUCACUCUGUUUGGGGAAAUUUGCUCCAUCAUUUAAACAUAGUUGGCCAAGAAGACUCUAACAUAUUCCUCUGCUCUAUAAAAGAAUAACCACAUCAGUGACUUUUAUUGAGUGCUGCUGUUUAAUAGUUAUGCUUACCUGCAGGUCACCAGCCCCUGCUGGUUUUCUUACAGGAAGCAGGAAGCAAAGGAAAGGAAGACAACACCCACCUCUGCUGGCUUUAGCGAUAUGGUUGUGGAAAUGUGCAGGGGCCCACCCUGACUCCUUAAAGCUUCUGAAAAGAGCUGAAAGAGGAAGGUUUUAUCAUAAAGACUGUGGCUCUAGCACUGGCAUCCAGAGUUCUCCCUACAGUCAGCUGAAUUAAUUACAUUUGUUCCACAGAUAGUUACCGAGUCCUGGUGCAUUCAGGCACCGUCCUUAAGUACAGGAGCCUCGGGAUGGAAUGAAACAGAAUCUCCUUGCUCUCAUGAAGUCUUUGGAGAAAAGGGGAAAGAAUAAAGGGAACACAAGGAGAGCAGCAGCGCCGCUGUCUUAUGCUGUAUGUAUUUUGUACGAGUGAUCAGGAAAGGCCUCAGCAAGGAUGCCAUUUGAACACAGGUUGGAAGGAAGGGAGAGAGCAAACCAUGUGGAUGUUGGGAAGCAGGUUCUGGGCAGAGGGAAUAGUAUGUGCAAAGGGCCGGAGGCAGGAGCACGCCUGGUGUUUGAUAACCAGCAAAGAGGCCAGUGUGGCUGCAGGAGGGCAAGCGAGGGAGAGAGCAGGUGGUAGAGAUGGAGAGUGUGGGAAGCCAGCUCAUGCCAGGCCAUGGUGAGGACUUUGGCUUUUAUUCCAAAUGCGUGAGGAGUGUAGGAAUGACAGGUCACAUGAGCAUGUGUGGAUGUGGUACCAGGGACUGAACCCGGGGCCUUCGCACUGAGCUACACCCUCAGCCCUUUAUUUCAUUUCAUUUUAUUUUUGAGACAAAGUCUCCCUAAGUUGCCCAGGCCGGCCCAAACUUGUAGUCCUCCUGCCUCAGCCUCCCCGAGUGCUGGGAUUGCAGGCGUGUGCCACCAUAUCUGACUCAUGCCCAUUCUUUUUUAGGGCCUCCUAUUUGGAGUAGGAGAGAAGCAAAUUCCAGAAGGAGCCCAUACAAUGAUCUCAACCACACGUGAGGAUGGCUUGGCUCAGGGUGUUGGGCGGAGGUGGUGAGAAAUGGUCAGACUCUGGGUCUCUUUUGAACACAGAGCUCCCAAGUUUGGCUGAGCAGAGAAGGCUCAGGACCAUCCCAAGGAGCAUGGCCUGAGCCCUGGGGAGGAGAGAGCUACCACUGACGAAGUGGAGGUCAGCUGUGAGGAGAGGAGAGCCCCACUGAGCAUGGUACAGGGGCGCCUGUAACAGACCGACGCAGAGAUGCCACGGGUGACCGGAUGCAGGAGACUAGAGCCUGUCUCAGGAGUCUGGAUGCCCACUUGGUGUUUGCCGAUGAUCAGAUGGCGCGACAGCCCCAGGCUGCUGGAGAUCACAGAGGAAGUGAGUGUAGGUGAGGAGGAGGUGGAGAUCGAGGGCUGGGAACUGGGGCAUCCAGCUUUCAGAGAUCAGGCUCAUGGAAGGAGCCUGCAAAGGAGACUGAGUAACAAGCAGCAGGCGAAGCGGGAGGACAAAGGAGCCAUGUGCGGGAGGCGCCCGUGUGUGCCGUAUCUGUGUGGCUCUGAGAAGCAGCCCAGUGCAGCCGGCCGGGGAGUGGUGCUUAGGUUCUAGAAGGGCUGAGGUAAGGUGGGUUCUGCCUGAGCAGGAAGCGACUUGUACUCCUGUGUGCCAGGGCAGAGAGGCGGCUUGGGUUAUUUUUAGGUUGGUCUGAGGAUGAUUCCUGGGAAGGUGAUGGUUUUGGCUAAUGAGCCCUUGCCUGCCGGAGAGAAGCAUCCCUGAAAUGUGCUUCCUUCAGCUCCAGCUCUCGAAGCCUCUGCCUGGCUCCUCCUGGGAAUGAUGCCAGCCCAAGAUGGCUGGCUGGGUCUUCCUGCCAGGACUGUGUCCUGGAGCUGAGAGCAGGGCUGGCAGCUCCCCAGGGGGAGGAGAGGAUUGUCGUUGUGGGGUGUGGGCUGGGGUUCCCGAAGGAAGGGCCCAGUGGCCACCCUGCUGAUGCUUCCCCUCGGGGUCUCCUUGAUGCUGUGGCUUAGGUAGGUAAUGCCCUUUGUGUACUGAUGAUUUUCAAGUCUGUCCUGGGGUUUUGCUAGAAGAUGGCAGCUGGUGCCGACUUUGGCACUUCCUGCAACUAACACAGUGCUUUGGUUCAGUUUAGUUCAAUAAACUUAUAAGGCACCAUUGUGUACCCCUCACUGUGUAAAAACUGUUUCUGCCUUCAGCUUCCUCCCUGCUUGGUCCUCCACCCUUGUAGGAGACCUUGGCUCAGGACUCACAUUCUCCUCUCCCCUCCCCCUUUCCUUCCCUUCCCCUGUCCCUCCCCUCCCCUCCCCCUGUCCCUCCCCUCCUCUCCUUGAUGCUGUUUCUAGAGGGGAAUAAACUCUAAGAUCGGU